CCCUGCCAUUUGUACACACCGCCCGUCGCUACUACCGAUUGAGCGUUUUAGUGAGGACCUCGGACUGAGGAGGGCGUGGUUAACGCCGUGCCCCCGUCGGAAAGACGUCCAAACUGUAGCGCUUAGAGGAAGUAAAAGUCGUAACAAGGUUUC
rnacentral:rRNA from 1 species